rnacentral:rRNA from 1 species
GACAGAGGAUGCAAACGUUGCUCGGAAUUACUGGGCGUAAAGCGCAUGUAGGCGGUCCGGUAAGUCAGGUGUGAAAUCCCGGGGGCUCAACCUCGGAAGGGCACAUGAUACUGCCGGACUUGAGUACUGGAGAGGAGAGUGGAAUUCCCGGUGUAGAGGUGAAAUUCGUAGAUAUCGGGAGGAACACCAGUGGCGAAGGCGAACUCUCUGGACAGAUACGUGACGCUGAGAUGCGAAAGCGUGGGAAGCAACAGG